AAACAUGUCUUUAUGCAAAUUAUGUAAAGUCUAGCCUGCCCACUGAAAGACAUUGAAGGGCCGCGGUAAUUUGACCGUGCGAAGGUAGCAUAAUCAUUAGCCAUUUAAUUAGUGGAUGGAAUGAAGGGUUGGAUGAGGGAUAAGCUGUCUUUUUAACAUAAUUUGAAUUUUACUUUUAAGUGAGAAGGCUUUAAUAUUAUAAAGUGAAGAUAAGACCCUAUAAAACUUUAUAGCUAAGGCUUAUGUUCGUUGUAUUGGGUAAAAAAUAAUAUAGAUAUAGGCUAUUUUGUUGGGGCGACAAGAAUAAAAUUUGUAUCUGUUCGUUUAAUGUGUUAAUGAUAAUUAACUUAUGAUCCUUUAGUAGAGAUUAGAAGAUUAAGUUACUUUAGGGAUAACAGCGUGAUUUUCUUUGAGAGUUCUUAUCGACAAGAGUAGUUGCGACCUCGAUGUUGAAUUAAAAUUAUUCUAACAAGUGCAGCAGCUUAUCUAGUAGGUCUGU
rnacentral:rRNA from 1 species